rnacentral:lncRNA from 1 species
GAAGGGUCAUCUUCACACAAUCCCAUGUAAUGAACAAGAAUGGGAUAAAGAGUUGGCUUACAAUUGCCACUUCACACAAUACAUGAAUAAACAUACAUCAUUCAGAGAUACACACAUAGGUCCGACUACGGAACCAAAAGAAAAGAAGACAACCCAACUGCUAGAUCCCUGAUCGUCCCAACUGGGCACCACUACUGAUCAAAAAGAAAAGAAACAACACAACGGACAAGAUCUUCAUCGAGCUCCCACUUGAGCUCAGUAGCGUCACCUGCACUGGUAUCAUCGGCACCUGCAACUGUUUGGAAGUAUCUGUGAGUCACGAGGACUCAGCAAUCUCACACCCGCGAGAUCAAGACUAUUUAAGCUUAAAGGAAAGGAUGGGGAAAAGAGGUGGAGCUACAGCAAGCACUAGCAUAUAAGGUGGCUAACAUACGCAAAUAAGAGCGAGAAGAGAAGCAACGGAACGGUCGUGAACUAGCAAUGAUCAAGAAGUGAUCCUGAACUCCUACUUACGUCAAACAUAACCCAGAAACCGUGUUCACUUCCCGGACUCCGCCGAGAAGAGACCAUCACGGCUACACACGCGGUUGAUGUAUUUUAAUUAAGUCAAGUGUCAAGUUCUCUACAACCGGACAUUAACAAAUUCCCAUCUGCCUCAUAACCGCGGGCACGGCUUUCGAAAGAUAAUACCCUGGAGGGGUGUCCCAACUUAGCCCAUCAUAAGCUCUCACGGUCAACGAAGGAUAAACCUUCUCCCAGGAAGACCCGAUCAGUCUCGGAAUCUCGGUUACAAGACAUUUCGACAAUGGUAAAACAAAACCAGCAAAGCCGCCCGAAUGUGCCGACAAAUCCCGAUAGGAGCUGCACAUAUCUCGUUCUCAGGGCACACCGGAUGAACACUAUGUACAACUAAAACCAGACCUCGAGUUUCCCCGAGGUGGCGCUGCAAGUGGCUCUAUUUUGGACCAGCACUCAGAGGAACACUGGCCCGGGGGUUUAAAAUAAGGAUGACCCUUGAGUCUGCAGAACCCAAGGGAAAAAGGCUUAGGUAGGCAAAUGGUAAAACCAAGGUUGGGCCUUGCUGGAGGAGUUUUAUUCAAAGCGAACUGUCAAGGGGGUCCCAUAAAUCACCCAACCGCAUAAGGAACGCAAAAUCAAGGAACAUAACACCGGUAUGACGGAAACUAGGGGCGGCAAGAGUGGAACAAAACACCAGGCAUAAGGCCGAGCCUUCCACCCUUUACCAAGUAUAUAGAUGCAUUAAUUAAGAUAAGAGAUAUUGUGAUAUCCCAACAUAAACAUAAUCCAACAUGGAGCAAUCUUCAUCUUCACCUGCUACUAGCAACGCUAUAAGAAGGGGCUGAGCAAAGCGGUAACAUAGCCAAUCAACGGUUUGCUAGGAAGGGUGAAAAGGUUAGGGGCUGACAAGGCCGUAUGGGAGGCAUGAUAUAGCAAGUGGUAGGUAGCGCGGCAUGGCAAUAGAACGAGCAACUAGCAAAGCAAAGAUAGAAGUGAUUUCGAGGGGUGGUCAUCUUGCCUGAGAUCCCGCAAGGAAGAAGAACGAGUCCAUGAAGAGACAAGGGAUGUAGUCGAACGAAUCCUCACAACUCCGGAACGAAACCGAAGCUAACGGGAGAAGCAAACCGGAAAGAAACAAACAACAUAGUAAACAACCACCACAGAAACAUGGCAUGAUGCACAAACAAAUAUGAUGCAUGUCCGGUUUAAUGAGGCAUGGCAUGGCAAAGUGCAACAAACAACACUACAAAUUAAGUGGAGCUCAAUAUGCAACGAGUUGCAUAUUGACGAAACACCACAUCAAUUAUUUAGUUCUCUCUCAUUUAUGUACCCAACAAUAUUAAAUGUUGAUUAACAUGGCAAGAGGUGAGACAUAAGUAAAUUACACAUUUUAGGCAAUUUAAAUGAGGCCAGAACAACAAACAACAAUUUCCGGAAAAUCCUCAUGUCCAUAAUUUAGAUUUGAUACUGUUCUGCCAUAAACGCAAUUUUAAUCUUGUUAAACAUUAAAAUGAAGUGCACCAUGUUAAACUAGGCAUUUUUCUACCCCAUUUGCAUAUAAAGUUUAUUAAAUUCCGAGUUACGGUUAAUUAGUUAUGGAGUAAAUCAUUUUAACAUGGCAUUUGAGCAAAUUAAACAAACAACACAUUUAAACAGUUUAAACAUGGAUGAAAGUUGGAUAUUAUUAAACUACACAAAUUUCUGAGCAUCUUUCAUAUAUAAUGUUUUUACAAAUGAUGCACGGUUAAUUAAUUAUUAAUGCAUGAACAUGAGGGGUUUUUCUAUAAAACUGCAAUACUCUGGAUAAUAGCUAAAUCGCAGACAUGAAAAAAAAACUACACUGGGCCGAAUCUAAAACCGAAGCAGGCCCAACAGAAGAAUAACAAAGGGGCGCUGGGGGGCCUCACCAUGGGCCAAGGCCCAGUCGAUGGAGAGGCUGGCUGGAGCGGGCGCUGGGCAAGGGCGCGGUCAACGCGAGGCACUGCUCGUGCACUCGUUCUCCUGUUCGAAGCAGGGGGUUGCGGGCGGCGCCUGGAGCAGAGCUUUGGUCUCCGGCGACGGGCGGCGCGACGGAGAGGCUACGCGGGGGAGGAGGCCCGGAUCUGGCGGCAAGCUCCUGGACGGCGCCAGAUCAGAAGAAGAGGAGGCCUCGGCGUGGUCUCUCCGACGAAGCGGCGACGCGGGGAAGAUCCCGAC